rnacentral:rRNA from 1 species
AGCGAACGCUGGCGGCAGGCCUAACACAUGCAAGUCGAACGAACCUUUCGGGGUUAGUGGCGGACGGGUGAGUAACACGUGGGAACGUGCCUUUAGGUUCGGAAUAACUCAGGGAAACUUGUUCUAAUACCGAAUGUGCCCCUCGGGGGAAAGAUUAAUCGCCUUUAGAGCGGCCCGCGUCUGAUUAGCUAGUUGGUUGAGGUAAUGGCUCACCAAGGCGACGAUCAGUAGCUGGUCUGAGAGGAUGGUCAGCCACAUUGGGACUGAGACACGGCCCAAACUCCUACGGGAGGCAGCAGUGGGGAAUCUUGCGCAAUGGGCGAAAGCCUGACGCAGCCAUGCCGCGUGAAUGAUGAAGGUCUUAGGAUUGUAAAAUUCUUUCACCGGGGACGAUAAUGACGGUACCCGGAGAAGAAGCCCCGGCUAACUUCGUG